GCCUGGGUGGCUCAGUCGGUUAAGCGGCCGACUUCGGCUCAGGUCAUGAUCUCGCGGUCCGUGAGUUCGAGCCCCACUUCGGGCU
rfam:Felis catus isolate Cinnamon breed Abyssinian chromosome B3, whole genome shotgun sequence.